UGAUACGAGUGGGACAGGAUCGACGUG
rnacentral:sRNA from 1 species